rnacentral:rRNA from 1 species
UCGGCAGAUGGAUCCCUUCGGGGUGAAGCAGCCGGCCUAACGCUCGACCCCAUUCUGGUGCGGUUAGCGUAUUAACAGGUGUGACGCAGGAAGGUAGCUGAGCCGGGCGAUGGUUGUCCCGGUCUAAGGAUGUAGGGCGAACGAUAGGCAAAUCCGUCGUUCACAUAGCCUGAGACCCGAUGGGUAGUCCUCACGGACGAAAUCAGUGAUCCUAUGCUGCCAAGAAAAGCAUCGACGCGAGGUUCCAGUCACCCGUACCCCAAACCGACUCAGGUGGUCAGGUAGAGAAUACCAAGGAGAUCGAGAGAAUCAUGGUUAAGGAACUCGGCAAAAUGCCCCCGUAACUUCGGGAGAAGGGGGGCCUGAGGCGUGAAGGGAUUUACUCCUGGAGCGUUUGAAGGCCGCAGAGACCAGUGGGAAGCGACUGUUUACUAAAAACACAGGUCCGUGCUAAGUCGCAAGACGAUGUAUACGGACUGACGCCUGCCCGGUGCUGGAAGGUUAAGAGGAACGGUUAGCCGCAAGGCGAAGCUGAGAAUUUAAGCCCCAGUAAACGGCGGUGGUAACUAUAACCAUCCUAAGGUAGCGAAAUUCCUUGUCGGGUAAGUUCCGACCUGCACGAAUGGCGUAACGACUUCCCAGCUGUCUCAACCGUGAACUCGGCGAAAUUGCACUACGAGUAAAGAUGCUCGUUACGCGCAGAAGGACGGAAAGACCCCGUGACCUUUACUAUAGCUUUGUAUUGGUGUUCGGUGUGGCUUGUGUAGGAUAGGUGGGAGACUUUGAAGCUUGGACGCUAGUUCAGGUGGAGUCAUUGUUGAAAUACCACUCUGGUCACUCUGGAUAUCUAACUUCGGACCCUAAUCGGGUUCAGGGACAGUGCAUGGUGGGUAGUUUAACUGGGGCGGUUGCCUCCCAAAAAGUAACGGAGGCGCCCAAAGGUUCCCUCAACCUGGUUGGUAAUCAGGUGUCGAGUGUAAGUGCACAAGGGAGCUUGACUGUGAGACUGACAAGUCGAGCAGGGACGAAAGUCGGGACUAGUGAUCCGGCAGUGGCUUGUGGAAGCGCUGUCGCUCAACGGAUAAAAGGUACCUCGGGGAUAACAGGCUGAUCUUGCCCAAGAGUCCAUAUCGACGGCAUGGUUUGGCACCUCGAUGUCGGCUCGUCGCAUCCUGGGGCUGGAGUAGGUCCCAAGGGUUGGGCUGUUCGCCCAUUAAAGCGGUACGCGAGCUGGGUUUAGAACGUCGUGAGACAGUUCGGUCCCUAUCCUCUGCGCGCGCAGGAAAUUUGAGAAGAGCUAUCCCUAGUACGAGAGGACCGGGAUGGACGAACCUCUGGUGUGUCAGUUGUUCCGCCAGGAGCACCGCUGAUUAGCUACGUUCGGAACGGAUAACCGCUGAAAGCAUCUAAGCGGGAAGCCGGCUUCAAGAUGAGAUUUCCAUGACUUCGGUCGAGAGGCUCCCAGCUAGACUACUGGGUUGAUAGGCGGGAUGUGGAAGCGAGGACUAAAGACUCGUGGAGCUGACCCGUACUAAUAAGCCGAUAAA